AUACGGAGGGUCCAAGCGUUAUCCGGAAUCAUUGGGUUUAAAGGGUCCGCAGGCGGUCAAUUAAGUCAGAGGUGAAAGCCCAUCGCUCAACGAUGGAACUGCCUUUGAUACUGGUUGACUUGAGUUAUACGGAAGUAGAUAGAAUAAGUAGUGUAGCGGUGAAAUGCAUAGAUAUUACUUAGAACACCGAUUGCGAAGGCAGUCUACUACGUAUAUACUGACGCUGAGGGACGAAAGCGUGGGGAGCGAACAGGAUUAGAAACCCGGGUAGUCC
rnacentral:rRNA from 1 species